CCAUUUUCGCUGUUGGAGUCGUGGUUGUUUGAUGAGACGGUUGCGCAAGGGUCAGAGAACCAUGGCAACGGACGAUGCUGGUGGUGAUCUGUUGUAGGUGCUCAUGCAGCCCAAAAACUGUAUAUGAGGUAGCUCGAUUGUAAAGUAUAUUGUCUCCAAUGGUAUGGGAGAAGAAGGUAUUGUAAUCUAUGGCAGAAGAGUGUUACCUGUGAUCAAUCAUCUUAAAUGGAGAGAUCAUCUUGGUUCUUGAGGCUGUGCAUUGGAAGAAUGAGGGAGUAAUGAAUCCAAAAUAGUUUAGUUUCUCCAUGAUCUGCAAUCACCAGUUUACCCAGAGACAAAAGUCAAAACGAAGCCAUUGUCGUACGUAUUGAUCCAUGAAGUCAUCAGCUCAGAAGAUG
rnacentral:lncRNA from 1 species